UACGUAGGUGGCGAGCGUUGUCCGGAUUUACUGGGCGUAAAGGGAGCGUAGGCGGACUUUUAAGUGAGAUGUGAAAUACACGAGCUCAACUUGGGUGCUGCAUUUCAAACUGGAAGUCUAGAGUGCAGGAGAGGAGAAUGGAAUUCCUAGUGUAGCGGUGAAAUGCGUAGAGAUUAGGAAGAACACCAGUGGCGAAGGCGACUCUCUGGACUGUAACUGACGCUGAGGCUCGAAAGCGUGGGGAGCAAACAGGAUUAGAUA
rnacentral:rRNA from 1 species